UCUCAUGUCUAUCUCUGUCGCCUCACUGGCGAUUCUUGUGUCGUUGCUUCGCCGCAAAUCGGCACCAAGCUCCAAGAGGAGGCGGCCUCCUGGUCCACGGUGUCUCCCCUUCAUCGGAAGCCUCCUCCACCUCCUUACCUCGGAGCCGCAGGUCGCUCUCCGGGACCUGGCGAAGAAGCACGGGCCGGUGAUGUACCUGCGGCUGGGCCACGUCGACACCGUCGUGAUCUCCUCCCCGGCGGCGGCACAGGAGGUGCUCCGGGACAACAGCCUCACGUUCGCGUCGCGGCCGAGCCUUCUGGUCACGGAGAUCCUAUGCUACGGGAACACUGACAUCGCCUUUGCGCCAUACGGCGCGUACUGGAGGACACUGCGAAAGAUCUGCAUGGUGGAGCUCCUGAGCGCGCGGAAGGUAAGGCAGUUCGCACCCAUCAGGGAUACUGAAAUCCUAUCCCUCGUUAGGAAUGUCCGCGCUGCCGCCAGAGGCGGCGAGCCAGUAAAUCUCGGCGGACUGCUCGUGUCUUGCUCGAACACGAUCAGCGCAAAGGCGACGUUCGGUGAGGGAUGCGACGCCGACCUCCAGGAGCAGUUCUUGUCUGCGAUCGGCGUGGCACUGGAGUACAGCGGGGGGUUCGGCGUCGGAGACCUCUUCCCGUCGCUGUGGUUCGUGGAUGUCGUCACUGGGGUGAGACGCCGGCUCUGGCGAGCGCACAGGGUCCUCGACGCCGUCUUUGAGAAGAUCAUCACUAGGUGCCAGGCGCGGCGGGAGGAGAAGAAGUCAACGGCGAUGACCUUCUGAGCGUCAUGCUCAGGAUCAAGGACGAGGAUGGCCUUGAGUUCCCCAUCAGCACCACAAACAUCAAGGCAAUCAUAGUGGUAACGUGUUUUUCCUUGAAAGAUUCCCAUGGUCGAUGCUUAGAGUAGUACUGGCUAUAUAUGUGUUAUUUUUUCUCAUUCAUGUUCUUCAUGUCGAUUAAUUUCGAUUAGGAUAUGUUCACGGGAGGGACCGAGACAACAUCAUCAGCCGCCGAGUGGAUCAUGUCGGAGCUCAUGCGAAACCCGGAGGUGAUCGCGAAGGCGCAGGCCGAGGUGCGACAAACACUCGACAACAAGAACCCACGAGACCAGGAGAGCCUCAUAGAGGGGCUGUGCUACACGAGGAUGGUGGUGAAGGAGGGCUUGAGGCUGCACCCGGUGCUGCCGCUCCUGCUCCCACGUGUCUGCCGGGAGACCUGCGACGUCGGCGGAUUCGAGGUCACGGAGGGCACCAGGGUCAUGGUUAACGCGUGGGCGAUAGCGAGGAGCGCCGAACAUUGGCACGACGCGGAGGAGUUUAGGCCGGAGAGUUCGUGGAUAGCACGGCGACAGACUACACCGGCACGCGGUACGAGUAUUUGCCGUUCGGCAGCGGGAGGAGGAUGUGCCCCGGCGGCAACUUUGCGAUGGCCACGCUGGAGCUCACUGUGGCACGGCUUCUCUACUACUUCGACUGGAGCCUCCCGAACGGGAUUCGACCGGAGGAGCUCGACAUGGACAUGAUCGUCGGCGCAACGGCAAGAAGAAGAAACCAACUGCACCUAAUUGCGGAGCCCUAUAAUGUCCCAAUCGAUCUUUAAAGCCGAUGUUUGUGACAGUUCACUUUCGUUGUUCUGCCAUGUGGGAUGAAUGUCUAUAUAUGUCUUGUUUUUAUGCAAUGUAAUGCACAAAUAAAUAAUUUUGGCAGAUAACAUUGUAUAGAGUAAAAUUCAGUUGUGGUCACUUAAUUGCGCAUUUUGGUCAUCUAACAAAUAAAAUAACGAUCCAACCCGCAAGACUUUGCAUGACCCAUGUAGAUAAACCAAAACAAGGGAAGAGGAUUUAGAGCUCCUGGGUGCUCGACCCCCUAUAUAAACAUUACUGGGUGCAGGGGCGGACCUACUUAGUGCUGAGUGGGUGCCUAGGCCCCACGCAAUUUUUAAAAAUUUCAAAUAGAAAUUGCUUGUAUUCAAAAAGAAAAUUUUGAAAUUCUUUAAAUUUUAUAAUAAAUGUCCUGACUCCAAUGAUUUUCCCCCACUCCACACUAAAAUAUCUCUUCCUACUCUCCCGCUAAAAUAUUUAAUCUCUUUACCAAGCUCAGCGACUCUAACAACUAUUUUCCUAAUUUGCCUAUCAAAAAAGGCUUCCGACUUGCUUUAUAUGUAAAGCAGCACGACCAGAAACAUAUGACUCAAGAAAAAAAGGCCAAACCGAUACAAGGUGAUGAGAAAAUCAUCUUACAAGUUACAGAGAUGUUCUAAUAAAAAUCCUCUUACAAAGCAGAUCAAAUAUAAAAGAAGGGUACACUACUGCUCACACCUCAACAAGAUGAAGUGAGGCUAUUGACUAGAAGAAAACCGGUGCCUCCAUGAGAAACCACCAAACAUGCAUGUAACAGACGCACCAAUUGCAAGUUGUCGUCGGAGAGGACACUCUUUGCUCGUGCUUCAGGUCAUGAAUCGCCAAUUCUACCUGCAGAGGAUGAGGAAUGAGAACUAGCGAUGCCACUGACGUCGCAUGUAAAAUAUAGGAAGCCGUCGGGGAUUGCCCCAUGCCAGAGUCGAAGAUGCAUUGAGAAGGAUCGGAGCUCACCCACCAUGUCAAACGGACGUAACCGGAGGGUGCUGGAGCUCCACGACCCCCCCCCCCCUAGGGUGACGAUGCAACACGCAUCCACGGCACGAUCGAAGGACGGUCAAGGGUUUUCACCUAGGAGCCCUGGCACGGAGAGGGGGACCACGAAAGUGAUCUUUGAUGUUGAGUGACCAUGAAUGAAGGCAAUACUCGCUAAUAUUAACAAGAAAAAUGAAGAAAUCGAUUUUGGUUGCUAAACUUUCAAAAUACGGUAAAUUUGGUCCAUGGUCCUAGUAAAAGCGAUAUAACCGGUGGGUGGUGGUGGUUUUACAGACGUUGCAACCAAUUAGAAUAGAAGAUAGACAAUCAUAAGAAAAAUACCAAAGCUUAAAAGAAUAUGGAAAAUAAGAGGGACAUUUAAAAUCUUGCAUGGAUAAACAUCUAACAAAAUAUUUUCUUAAAUAAAUUAAAAUGGUAUUAAAAAACAAAGAUAUGUUAUUAGAAAGAUGGAUCUUGAGAAAAUUAAUUUUUCGGCGUUGAAACCCAUGAACAAACACCAUAUUUCUUUGUUAGUUUUGCAUUUUCUAUCUCCAAUGUAUGUACUUAUGAUAAUUUUUGGCUUCCUACCUUUUGGCAGUUUACGUUUGGAAAUUACAUGGUUUUCAAUGUUUAUCAUAUAAUAUUUCUUAAAUUUCAAAAUUUUCCAAAUUUCAAAGAAGAUUCUAGGUUUUGAUUGAUAGGUUUUUCUUGAAUGAUUCCACUAUUAAUAAUAUUAUCUAUUGAUUUGUUUUCUUAACCUUUUUUUAUCCGUCUGUUAGCUGGGCUACUAUGUGUGUGAAUCCACUGUCUGCCAUCUCACAUACCGCUUUCACCGAUAAUCAAGGUGAAAAUUUAGUAAUUUCAAAAGUUUUACAUCCUCCAUAUCAGGUAUUUUUGUUAAAUAGCCAACUAUGAAUCACCCAAUAGUGAUUAUGUGGAUCUCUACCCAGGAGAUGGGUCAACUAUUCAAUGGUGGUCGUGACUUCUGAGGCGUGUGCAUGUGGUACACGCUUUGGGUUUGCUGGACUGGAUGUGUUCUUCCGGUACGUCAUGCAGGCGAUAUGGCGAUGACCCCGGUUCUAGAUGGUGGGGGCGUGGCGCAUCCUCCGUUGUCGAGUUUAUAGGUGUGGUAGUGGUAGUUUCGGGUUGUUUGAUGUAUGUUGUUGUCAGACCUUUAUUAAUUUAAUAAGGAUGGUUGUGUGCAUCAAUUGAUGUACCUCAUCGCGCACCGCUACGCAACACGCCGUUGAUGCUAUGGGAUGCGUUAGACCACCGGACAGACCUCCACCAUGUCGAGGAAGGCCGGUGAGGCAGACAACCAUGAUAGCACAACACGAGCUCCACAUAAGAAUUUGCACCACCAGUUGAGGGGAAGAAGGUUUGUCGUCGCCAACCACGUGGGGGCUUUUGGCUUUCCCCGUCUACAUAAGGCAUCGGCGGUGCCGGGUAGGGUGGGGAAAAUGACGCGGGCAUCGUUUUUAAGUGCUUUCAUCGGCCUAGGCAUUGUAAUAUUGGUUUAUAUUUACGAAAUAAAUAGUGCAUUAUACAUCGCAAUUAUAGAUAAUACACGAGUAUUCUACAACAACACGAUGUCAAGGGCAUGUGCAUACAUGAGAACCAACCUGUGAUUGGAAGGUUAGCAAUUAGGAGGCGGUGCUACCCAGCCCAUCAUGGAUCAAAACUCAAAUUUGACGCUUUGGUAACUCAUAAAGGCGAAAUAUUUAUUUGUUGGAAGGCGACGUUUACGUCAAGAGCAAGAAGUCUAUGGUAUUUCGUCAAUCUCAAGACCGGCCAGCUCUUAUAGGGUGAGUGUGGAACACUAAGUCCGUAUCUCACAUUUGCAGGUUUAGGAUUUCUGAGUGAAGACCAUGCCCGUGAUUUCUGAACAUUCGUGAAAACAAUGCCAGGCCAGCAUAUUAGACUACUAGGGUGUCAAUUUAGCACCAAUUAUUGUUACUGAAACAUGGACUAUGAUAUUGGAGCAUGGUGCUCAUGCUGAGCGCCAGAUAUUUGUUUACCAAAAUAUAUUCUGCUGCGUUAGAAGGACGAGCUACAUCGACGUGCGGGGAUCGGCGGAUUAUUCGAGGGGGCUGGUGGGAGAUGCUUGGGACCUGAACUUUGUCCUCCAUGGCGCUGACUGUGGAUGCGCCUUUGUCCACUAACGAAGAUGCGUCUUAAUCAUGUGGUAGACAGCAGUGAGCAGUCCUAUUACUAAAUGUGCGCACGNNNNNNNNNNNNNNNNNNNNNNNNNNNNNNNNNNNNNNNNNNNNNNNNNNNNNNNNNNNNNNNNNNNNNNNNNNNNNNNNNNNNNNNNNNNNNNNNNNNNNNNNNNNNNNNNNNNNNNNNNNNNNNNNNNNNNNNNNNNNNNNNNNNNNNNNNNNNNNNNNNNNNNNNNNNNNNNNNNNNNNNNNNNNNNNNNNNNNNNNNNNNNNNNNNNNNNNNNNNNNNNNNNNNNNNNNNNNNNNNNNNNNNNNNNNNNNNNNNNNCAAACGCAAAUGAUCGGGCCGUCUGUCCGAGUCAUGCACCGUGGUAUGUGCGCAUGCAACUGCCAACAAACUGGCUAGCACAGCGCUACAUUGAUGCGCUUGCAUAGAGAGAAAAACAACACACACAAAAAACCCACUAUAGAACAAGAAAAUAAUUUUCCUUUUCCGUGAAUGAACACAAGAACAACACGGGGAAAUCAGAACGGAUCAUGACUACAAGUAUAGCAUAGACGCUCCUGUUUUUUUUUACCGCACUGCUGUUAUUUGAGUCCGCACCACUAAUUAUCUAUACGUACAGAAGUUUUUCUAAUAGCGGUUGUUAGAGCUUCUUAUAUUAGCGAACCAACCUGUGAACUGUGGUUGGAUGGUUAGAGGGACAGUGGUAUCCCUGCCCACUAGGGUCAAUUUUCGGUGCUCGCAUUAUUCCUGGAUUUAUUUCAGAAUUUCCGGCGAUGCUUUUCAGUGGGAGCAGACGUUCGGGUCGAGGACGAGACGCCUAAGAUGACUUUGUAAAUCUCAAGAUGAUAUGCCGGCUCAGUCUCUCGAAGAUGCUCAUAUGGUAGGGUGUGCGUAUGUGCGUUUAUAGGGGUGAGUGUAUGCAUGCAGGUAUGAGCGCUUGCGUUUCUACUGUGUUAAAAAAAAGCUUCUUAUAUUAGCAUAAUUCCUUUUCCAAAAAAAAAUGAGCAUAAUUGGAAGGGCUAUGGAUCGCAUAUUUCUUGAGCGGGAUAUGUUCUGCUGAUCUCAUAUCAUUUCGUCUUGAUUAUAUCUUACCACUACGUGUCACUUUUUUUGCAGGUUACCACUACGUGUCGUUGACAUCGUAGUGCUUAUAAAAGUGGCUACUCUUGCUUUGCUGUUCUUCCAAGCAAAUUAAGCUGCGACUUAAACCGAACCAUCCUGAUGGAGCUAAGCACAGCCACUCUCCUGUCUAUCUCUGUCGCCUCACUGGCGAUUCUUGUGUCGUUGCUUAGCCGCAAAUCGGCACCAAGCUCCAAGAAGAGGCGGCCUCCUGGUCCACGGUGUCUCCCCUUCAUCGGAAGCCUCCUCCACCACCUUACCUCGGAGCCGCAGGUCGCUCUCCGGGACCUGGCGAAGAAGCACGGACCGGUGAUGUACCUGCGGCUGGGCCACGUCGACACCGUCGUGAUCUCCUCCCCGGCGGCGGCACAGGAGGUGCUCCGGGAC
rnacentral:lncRNA from 1 species